AUCUGUUCUUAUCAGUUUAAUAUCUGAUACGUCCCCUAUCCGGGAACUGCAUAUUAAAUGGAUUUUUGGAUCACAGAGCUGGACCUGGGGCUUGCGCCGUCCAAUCCACGCAUUGGACUGGUAUUGCAGUGUCUAGAGAAACGGUGU
rnacentral:snRNA from 1 species